GUGGGGAAUAUUGGGCAAUGGGGGAAACCCUGACCCAGCAACGCCGCGUGAAGUAAGAAGGUUUUCGGAUCGUAAACUUCUAUCCUUGGUGAAGAUAAUGACGGUAGCCAAGAAGGAAGCCCCGGCUAACUACGUGCCAGCAGCCGCGGUAAUACGUAGGGGGCAAGCGUUGUCCGGAAUGAUUGGGCGUAAAGUGCGCGUAGGCGGUCUGGUAAGUCUGGAGGGAAAGUCCUGCUUUUAAGGUGGGAAUUGCUUUGGAUACUGUGGGGGUUGAGUGCAGGAGAGGUAAGCGGAAUUCCCGGUGUAGCGGUGAAAUGCGUAGAGAUCGGGAGGAACACCAGUGGCGAAGGCGGCUUACUGGACUGUAACUGACGCUGAGGCGCGAAAGUGUGGGGAGCAAACAGGAUUAGAAACCCCAGUAGUCC
rnacentral:rRNA from 1 species